UACGGGGGGGAGCAAGCGUUGUUCGGAAUUACUGGGCGUAAAGGGCUCGUAGGCGGCCAACUAAGUCAGACGUGAAAUCCCUCGGCUUAACCGGGGAACUGCAUCUGAUACUGGAUGGCUUGAGUUCGGGAGAGGGAUGCGGAAUUCCAGGUGUAGCGGUGAAAUGCGUAGAUAUCUGGAGGAACACCGGUGGCGAAGGCGGCAUCCUGGACCGACACUGACGCUGAGGAGCGAAAGCCAGGGGAGCAAACGGG
rnacentral:rRNA from 1 species